AUUAGAAUGUUGUUGUUGUUGUGUGUGCGCUUAUCUACAUAUACCCAGCUAGUUUAGAGACAUAAUACCAUACAACUUUUGGCAAUAAAGUUUCAGCCAAUAGAAACUUCUGGCUCAACGAUUCCAACCCUUUAGGAAGUCUUUGACCGAGGAGCAUUCGGGCGAAUGCUCAACGGAUGGAGAAUGGAGCCGGAAGCCCUGCCGUGUUGCAGUUUGAAGCACCCGUGGGUGUGUGCAGAGAUUAAUCCACUCCGUCGGGAGAAAGAGCGCCUGUUUGGUGGAUAGGAGAGUCUCGGGGCCUCUUGGUAGAGACCCCUACGACCAAGCAACGAUUGCCAAGGAGGAGGUGAAAGAAGAGGAGCCCCACUUAAGUCAUUAACUAGCUUUCAGCGUUUCAGAGCUGAGGUUUCAGGCCCAAGCCAGGGAUGGAGCGUUUCUGGCAAAGGCAGGAAGCUCUCACUAGUCCAAGAGAAAGAGCACAUUCUUUGCCCGUGCGGGACCCCGACUCCAUUCCUCUGGGCACGGCUGGUGACACGUUGGAAAAUCUUCCUGGGAUUUAUCUUUCACCGGGGUUUGUUUAAGGAGCACCGAUAGCAACCGCUAGGUUUUCCAAGGCGUAGCAGGCAGAAUAACUCCCAGGAUGCCCGAAAGCCGCUCGGUAUCAGGUCUGCUCGUCGGUCCAUCCGUCCCACGACUAUCGGCACGGACCGGCUGCAGGGCUCUGAACAUCCGUUCAAGCAGAGGGGUUUUUCCCAGCCCUUCCCUGGAAACGCAGGGGUGAACCCGGACCUUUUGCACGCAAAGCAACAGCUCGAACUCGGACUGCGGCCAUCCGUCAGGAGACAAGCAACCUGCUUGCAAAUAGCACUCCUAAGUAAACCAAAAAAUUAAUCUUCCACGUUUGACAUAGAGAAGAAACAAACACGGUUGAGUCGGGGAAUUAUAAAAUUAUUCUCGCUUAACGUUACAUACUUUUAUAAGCAUCUGGUUAAAACAAUCCAAUUUGGCCAAAGUAUUUAGAUGUAAAUACUUUAUUGCAAAGAGAAGGAAUUAAGCGCACGUUAUUUAUAAUUUAUAAUUUAUAAUUAUAUUCAGACCUAGGAAAAACAUUCCACUUGCAUUUCUCAUGACUUAAUUUUAGAAUUCACCAAUAGCUCUUCAUUAAAGGGGAAGAUAUCGUCUAAGUAUUGUCCUCUGGGAUAAAAAAAAGUACGUUACCAUGUUUUCUUCGGGAAUAGGGUGAAAUUGAGGGUGGGGAGCGAUAUUAAAACUAGAAAUCGAUCACGAUCUGAGAUGAUACCCCUCGUAAGCGCUGAUGAGAGCGCGACUUGGCCUUUGCUGUCUGCGACGGUUUAUACAGCCCACUCCCAAACGCUACUUCUGCAAAAGGAAGUCUAGCCUCUGUAGCAGCCGUGUCUUUUCAGCCUCUCUCCAGGAAAGAGAGCUGGGGCAAAACAGAGGAAACAGUUAACACGAAGGUGGGCGCCCAGGGCCCCCUCGGUCAAGAAAACUUGGAACUCAUCUCACGAGGUCACGUGGGAAACAUCUAGCCUGCUACGCUCUGAAUUGAGAUCCACGUUUGGGUCAAGGGUUUUUGGGAAAACCUUUUCUCCUUCCGAAAAUUGUUUUCUUACUUUGUAGAAACAGGCAACUAUACCUGUAAAUUCUGUGGCAAGCAGUACAAGUACUCCACGCCAUCCCAGGAACACGUGGCCCUUCACGCACCAAUCCGUGAGUAUCCAGCUGUAACACAGCAACCGGGGAGACCCCGGGAUCUAGGAUCUUUCAAGGCAGAGGCCAAUCGCACCUCUAAAGCGAUCACGAGGGACAGAGCAGUACCGGCAUAUCUCCCUGAUAGCUGUCCUUUGGGGAUAUACUUUGAGAGAAGGAGUUGUUCCUAUUUCAGGGCAAAUAGUCAGGCCAGAUUGCCUAUCAUUGUUAAUACUAUAUUAAACCGUAAAUAAAAUUAUACCUGUAUUUUGCAGUUUA